rnacentral:SRP_RNA from 1 species
CCGCGCUAGGCGGGGAGCUGGCGGUGCCCUAAACCCGCAAUCCGCCAUAGCGGGGCUGAACCCCUGCCCGAGGCCGUGGCCGUGGCGACUGCCUACAGGUGAGGGUGACGAUGGCCAAGCCCUGCGCGGUGGUGCCCCACGAACCCCGUCAGGCCCGGAAGGGAGCAGCGGUAAGUGGGAGAGCCAGGUGCCGCAGGACACCUUGGCCGGAGCUUGAACCUGUAGGUAAGGCCGUGGCACCGCGUCAACGGCAGGUGCGCGG